rnacentral:rRNA from 1 species
GAUGAACGCUGGCGGCGUGCCUAAUACAUGCAAGUCGAGCGAACAGACGAGGAGCUUGCUCCUCUGACGUUAGCGGCGGACGGGUGAGUAACACGUGGAUAACCUACCUAUAAGACUGGGAUAACUUCGGGAAACCGGAGCUAAUACCGGAUAACAUGUUGAACCGCAUGGUUUAACAGUGAAAGACGGUCUUGCUGUCACUUAUAGAUGGAUCCGCGCCGCAUUAGCUAGUUGGUAAGGUAACGGCUUACCAAGGCAACGAUGCGUAGCCGACCUGAGAGGGUGAUCGGCCACACUGGAACUGAGACACGGUCCAGACUCCUACGGUAGGCAGCAGUAGGGAAUCUUCCGCAAUGGGCGAAAGCCUGACGGAGCAACGCCGCGUGAGUGAAGAAGGUCUUCGGAUCGUAAAACUCUGUUAUUAGGGAAGAACAAAUGUGUAAGUAACUAUGCACGUCUUGACGGUACCUAAUCAGAAAGCCACGGCUAACUACGUG